GUUCUUGCUGGAUUUAAACUCAACAAAAAAAAAGAAACAUGUGGUGGCUAUGACCCUCGGCUUGUAACCGAGUGGGUUCGGGUUCGAAUCCCGAGUAAGACU